AGAAGACUAAAGAGCGGUGAGGAAUAGGCUGAGAAGAAACUGGUUUAGCAGUGAGUGAGGAGAGGAGAGCAGGCAGUGCAGAGGACGUGGCACAGAAGACCCAGCAGCCUCUCCGUCAAUCUGGACAGUCCUUGAAGGAAGAGGUAUGUGCUGGUGACCAUGAAGGUGUUUAUGACCCAAAUAAGAAGGCAGAAUUAAUGAUUAACAAAACUUAGCAGAAAGGAAGAAGAAGAAAGAAAAAAAACAAGAGGAAAUAAAGCGAAGAGGCUAAGUACUCCAAGGCAAAGAUACAACUAACACUUCACUAGAAGUUCUUUUCCACCUACUGUAGAUAAACAAACAGUAGUCUGAACUAGAAAUCUUUCAACAAUUCACUACUCCUGCCCAGAAGAAAAAAAAAGGUGCUUUUUAUGAGCACCGACUCUUUCUUACCCAACGGUGACAUCCACCUGAAGCUAAUGAGCUCCAACAGCAAAGGUCAGGCUGCUCCAAAGCUACAGGCUCACGACACAAUUUGGAAUCUGAGAACAGCUCAUAAUAGGGCUAUAUACUUUAAGAAAAUAACAAUAACAGACUGCAGCAAAAUCCAUCACUAGGAACUGGUCUACCCACCUUCUCCAAGGAAAUGUGAAUAUGGAAGAUCAAUCACCGUCACCCACCACCCAGCCCACAAGUGCACAGGAAAGACAACGGAUAUACCGCAUGAUGGCACAUAAAAAGCCUCAAAGAUAAAUUGGUUGGGGGGGGGGAGCACAGAACUUAAUCAGGAAAAACUCUUCUACAGAAGAAAAAGUGAAAGGAGGUGAAGAAUUUUCUCUGAAAAUAGGAGAAAAUCUAGAUGAAUCCAUUAUGCUCUUGAAGGAAUUUAGAAAAUCUCAAAUAGGUCUCACAGUGAUCAGUCAAAAAUAAGACCACAAAACUAGAGGAAAAGCGUACAAAACUCAGGGAGGAAAUUUAAGUCGAAAUCCUUUACAGAAUUCAUAAAUACAAGGAAGAGGAUCAACACGACACAAAGAGCAUGCUUGGGAAAAACCUCACAAAAUUCAAAAUAAGGCAAUUAAAAACAUGAUGGAGCCAAUAGCAAUCUAGUAAAUGAGUAACUGGUAUACUACUUUCACCCCUCAAAAAGGACAGCCUAUGUGAAAAUGGAAAAAAAAAAAAAAUUGGGAGCUUUCGGGAUGGUGAAUUGUGGAGAUUCAGGGAGAGUGGCACUUCCAGAGGCGGCCCUAUGCAUCUCCUCCAUCUGGCUGUUUAUGAAUUACAUCCUUUUAUAAUAAACUGCUAACCUGGUUAAAAAAAAAAAAAAAAGCAUUAAACUAAAAAGAUCAGUGACGGGG